AGAUUGAACGCUGGCGGCGUGCUUAACACAUGCAAGUCGAGCGGUAACAGGCGUAGCAAUACGUGCUGACGAGCGGCGAACGGGUGCGUAAUACAUGGGAAUCUGCCGUUUUAGUGGGGAAUAACCCGGCGAAAGCCGGGCUAAUGCCGCAUAAGAUCUUCGGAUGAAAGCGGGGGAUCGUAAGACCUCGCGCUGAUAGAUGAGCCCA
rnacentral:rRNA from 1 species